ACAAUCAAAGCCUGACCAUGUUUAUUUGGAAAUGGUCUCUUUAUCCCUUUUUGUCUUAGCAGCUGUGUGACUUUGGGCAAGUUAAUUAACCUCUCUGUCCUUACCUAUGAAAUGAAGAGAAUCAUAUAUUCCUUAUAGUAUUGAUGAGCAUUAAAACAUAUAUGUAAGUUCUCAUAUUGAGUGCACACGGCAACUCUCAGUAAGCUUUACUAUUGUUGUUGAUGUUGCUCAUUACCAGCGCCCAAGACCCUCCCUCUCUGAAACACAGCUAUUGAGUGUUGCAGAACAUAACUCUCACCUUUUGGAUGGAAGGGAGAGUAUCAGUCUUAAUCAGAAGGACGUUCUAUGCAGAAGAUGCUGAAAGAUGAAGAAUGUAGGCUCCAGGAGGGCAAAGACAACGCCUGGGCUGGCACAUCGGCUUUCUGCUUCAUUUGUCUCCUCCCUGGCUGCUAGAGGUGUUCUUUAGGUUGCCAUGGAGAAGAAAAAGGAAUAAGGGCUCUGGAGCCAGAGCGCCCUGGGUUCGCAUC
rnacentral:lncRNA from 1 species